CCCUCCACACGUAACGUUCAUUGCCUUUGACUCCUAAGAGGCGAGGACUAAUCCCCUGGCUCUCCCCGCACAGGUCGGAUGCCGGCGUGAUCGACUUCCCCUCGCAUCGUGGGUGCCGGCGGGACAGCGCCCGGACUAAUUCGGUUCGGGGGAAGGCGGGAGCGCGGUUUAUACGUCCCCAGCCGCCGCCAUGAGCAGGGGAAAUGCUGGCCUCGGCGGUGAAAGAUUAUUUCACAUGAGCAGCACUCUUCAAGAAAGCUGUUGCCAGAUAAGGUGGCGACUGUACUUUGAAGAGGAACAAUGAGAAGUGACAGACAAGACCGUGUUUACCAAACUGAAUAGAGGACUUGCAGGUUUCCACUCACCGCUCGGUUACCUAAGCCCAGGGAAUCAAGGCUGGAGUGCUGUUUCACCAACCCGGAUCAGUAACAAAGUGGUAACUACUUCACAAUAUAAUAACAUGCCGUGAAAUCUUACUCCAGGUGGCAAUGAAUAACAUCUUUUUAAAUUUCAUUUUUAUGAAAUGUUUAAAAAAAACAUUGUUGGAACCGCUCUUGUGUUUACAUGUUUGGCAGCUGCAGAGUAUUUUUGUCCCAUGCCUUUUUUCAACAUUCAGACUUUUGAUUACAGGUCGGGGUGUGAAUGCAGCAUGACUCGAAUGUGAAAUCCUUCGACUUCAACGGGGCCAGAAAUGUAGAAAUAGGAAGAGGAUGUUCUUGUUCUGCAGCUUAGAGAAGAUCUAAAUUUGGCAGCCGCGCUGCACACAGAAUGGCAUGGGAUUCGUGUGUGUGCAGCACUCCGAACCACAGUCCCGAAAGAAGCUAACUCCUGGAGCGCCACACCAACCCACCUCAUCUGGAAAAGGCUACUGGAAAUAGGAAUCUUUUCCCAUUUUUGUCUCUAAUGCUGCAGAGCUGGCAGAGUUGGUACCUCGAGCGUAGGGUAGGACAAGCCGCCCUCACCACGUUGCUUGUCACCUUUGUUUGAUAAAGUGCUCAAUUUUUAUUACUUUUAUGCUGUGCAAACACACGCGAUGCUACAGUCCCGAACCCAAAUAUUUGUAGAGCGGAGGUCCAGAACAAUCCUGCUGUCUGCUUACAGCAUCAGCAGUUACGUUGUAGAUGUGAACAGUGUGGAUCAGCGCUGCCAGGUGAGCGUCUGAACAAGUUCAGCAGGAAAGAGGAAUACGAACAGAACAUGCAUGCUUUGUAUAUAUAUAAUGGGAUUGUUUCUUCAUUCUGUCACAGCUAUAUCAAGCCAUUGAAGUGGAUUUAUGUUAGAGAACAACAUUUUAACAGAAUUUGUGACACGCACGAAUGCACAUACACACACAAACAUGCAAACUGUAUUUACACAUGUAAAUGUAUAUAUGGAAUGUAAAUACUAUAAAAAAAGGGCUAUGAGAUGCAGUAUUUAUUUUGACAUACAUUAUUUAUAGGAAAUUGGGAGUGUAAGUUUUCAGUGUGUGCAUAAUCAGCUGCUAUUUAUCUAUUAAAAUUUUUUAUAAUGCAUAUGAUUUUUAUUUUUCUCAUCUGCAGUUAUUUUUACACGUGAGCUCUUUACACCUUCAGGUUCUAGCAACAAUAUUAAUUGGGUGAGGGUACAUAACAAAUUUCUAAUUUAUAUUACACAGAAGUUCAUAUGCAUGAAUGUACUUUACUAGAUCUUAUAAGCAUCUUUUUUCCAUUCAAAUCCAAAUCCAUCAAACACAAACCUUACAGAACACAGGUGCAGAAAGUAUUUGCUUCAAAUCACACGUUUUUGUUAACUGACAGAAAAAUAUUUGCUAAUAUGUGGGGGGAGAAUCCUUUGUGUUAAUUUUGACAUACAUGUAGUGACUGCAGAGUAUAUUUUCUCUUAAUGACAGGCAGUAGGUUAGAUUAAUCUAGAAGUGCUACAGAAGUAAUACAGACCUUCAUUUUGUAUGUUAUCCAGAAGAUCUUUCGAGAGGCCCUGGGAAAUGUACCUUAUCAGUUAUACCAAAUAGUGAUAUAUUAAUAGUGCCCAGAAGGGCGUGCGCGCGCGCGCACACACACACACAUGUACGUGCAACAUUUGGCAAAAUCCCUUUGUCUCCUGAUGGCCCACAAAAGUGGAAGGCUGAGAUUCUUUGUUGAAUCUACCGGUGCCACCAAGAACGUGUGGAUCAGGGACUAGCUCACCAAGCUUUACCCCACUGAAAAAUUUCUUCUGUGCUUGGGGAAUUUCUUUACUAUCUCUGAUUUAUUUUGCUCUGUUCAGGAUAUCUGGCUCCAUUUUUUUCUUUUUACAAGCUUCAGGAAACUGAGUUCUGAAGGGGCAUUUCUUGGUUUUGAUUUACAUCAUUACUUUCAUAAGUGGUGAAAUUAGGUUAACUUUUUUGUUGUUGUUCGACGGUCCUGGAAAAGUCAACGUAGUCCUUGAUCGUGUAGAGAUAAAGAAGUGUGGUUUGAAAGACAAGGGCACUGGCAGAAGAAUUCUUGCUGAGGCAUUUAAACCAGUAACAUCCCUUCCAACCCUGCCCUUUUCCUCUGCUAGGAGUUAGCACGUAUGGGGCAGGGAUGGCUGAAGUGAACACGUGUCGGCUUCUCACCUUUAGCAGUUUCAGGACUGAUGUUUUAACGUAAACUCUAACAGAUGGAUGACAAUCCCGCUAUGUCAAACUGAAGUUAAGUUGCUUUCAGUGUCUGCUCAGUAGAUGGAAACCACAAGCAGAGGUACGGGCAAACUUCUGGCACCAUAGCUAAAUACCAGACAAGUUGUCCAUCAGAGCCCUAAGGUUUCCUGAAAUGCAAUCCUUGCUCUAAGACUGUCCUCUCUUCAGCAAGAAACACUGCUUAUAUCUCUCUGUUUAGUUUCCUCACUAUAAACUGUGAUGAUAAAGAGUAUUCAUUUAGUUCUGUAAGGGGUGAUAAACAAACAUGGGCAAAAAUCCAAUUGCAACUUCAUUUCACCAAAAAUGCAGAUUUCAGUCAGCUGACAUUCUUUACAAUAUUACAGCUUUUUUCAGCAAAUCUUCUUCAAUUAAAAAAAACAAACACAUUUCUUAAAAUGACUGUUUCAUUUAGCAUUUUCUAAAAAGAUGUUUUCAAAUCUGUACUUUAAUUAUAUUCUUAAUGUAAAUAAACCCUGAAAAU